rnacentral:rRNA from 1 species
UGGGGAAUUUUGGACAAUGGGGGCAACCCUGAUCCAGCAAUGCCGCGUGUGUGAAGAAGGCCUUCGGGUUGUAAAGCACUUUUGUCCGGGAAGAAAUCCCCUGCCCUAAUACGGCGGGGGGAUGACGGUACCGGAAGAAUAAGCACCGGCUAACUACGUGCCAGCAGCCGCGGUAAUACGUAGGGUGCGAGCGUUAAUCGGAAUUACUGGGCGUAAAGCGUGCGCAGGCGGUGAUGUAAGACCGAUGUGAAAUCCCCGGGCUCAACCUGGGAACUGCAUUGGUGACUGCAUUGCUCGAGUAUGGCAGAGGGGGGUGGAAUUCCACGUGUAGCAGUGAAAUGCGUAGAGAUGUGGAGGAACACCGAUGGCGAAGGCAGCCCCCUGGGCCAAUACUGACGCUCAUGCACGGAAGCGUGGGGAGCAAACAGGAUUAGAUACCCCUGGGUAGUCCACGCCCUAAACGAUGUCAACUGGUUGUCGGGCCUUCAUUGGCUUGGUAACGUAGCUAACGCGUGAAGUUGACCGCCUGGGGAG